UACGGGGGGAGCAAGCGUUGUUCGGAUUUACUGGGCGUAAAGGGCGCGUAGGCGGUCAGCACAAGUCAGUUGUGAAAUCUCCGGGCUUAACUCGGAAAGGUCAACUGAUACUGUGCGACUAGAGUGCAGAAGGGGCAACUGGAAUUCUCGGUGUAGCGGUGAAAUGCGUAGAUAUCGAGAGGAACACCUGCGGCGAAGGCGGGUUGCUGGGCUGACACUGACGCUGAAGCGCGAAAGCCAGGGGAGCAAACGGG
rnacentral:rRNA from 1 species